rnacentral:lncRNA from 1 species
GGAUGGAUGGGUGGGUGGAUGGAUGGGUGGGUGGGUGGAUGGAGUUGUGUUUUCCCUCCCAGUGAAUGUUGAACUUUUCAUGGCAGUCUAGUUGAUAACAGCACGACUGUAUGUGUUGAACGUGUAAACGACUAUGUGUUGAACGUGUAAAUGACUGUGUUGAACGUGUAAAUGACUAUGUGUUGAACGUGUAAAUGCUUUCAUCAAACAUUAGUCAAGCCAGUUGUUCUACUCUCAACCUUUUGUUUAAAACGGAUUUAAAAUGAGAUAAUAUAAUACAAUGAGUUUAAUAGUAUUUCAAAUACUAGAGGCUUCUAAUAAUGAGGUGUUGCAAGAGGCUUCUAAUAAUGAUGUGAUGCAAGAGGCUUCUAAUAAUGAUGUGAUGCCAGAGGCUUCUAAUAAUGAUGUGUUGCCAGAGGCUUCUAAUAAUGAUGUGUUGCCAGAGGCUUCUAAUAAUGAUGUGUUGCCAGAGGCUUCUAAUAAUGAUGUGUUGCAAGAGGCUUCUAAUAAUGAUGUGAUUCAAGAGGCUUCUAAUAAUGAUGUGAUGCCAGAGGCUUCUAAUAAUGAUAUACAGUGCAUUCGGAAAGUAUUCAGACCCCUUGAUGUUUUCCACAGUUUGUUACGUUACAG